rnacentral:lncRNA from 1 species
UGGGAUUACUCUAGUCCCAACUCGCUUAACUUCGGAGUUCUCAUGACUCCGAAGCCAGUUAGCUCCCAAAAGGCCUCGUGCUAGAUGGAGGUGGGCAUGUACAUAUAAGGCACAUCACCCUCUCUCCGUUGGUCGAUGUGGGAUAUUACAAUUCACCCCCCCUUAGGGGCCCAACGUCCUCGUUGGCACACUAUCACCACACGGUAGAGUGGCUCUGAU